AAUUAUGGUGGGGCGUACAGGGCCGACUUCGGUCGGGCCGGGUUCGGUAGUCUCCGGUAACGCCAACCCUGUACGUCUCACCACCUCU
rnacentral:antisense_RNA from 1 species